rnacentral:rRNA from 1 species
AUUGAACGCUGGCGGCAUGCUUUACACAUGCAAGUCGAACGGUAACAGGCCGCAAGGUGCUGACGAGUGGCGAACGGGUGAGUAAUGCAUCGGAACGUGCCCAGUCGUGGGGGAUAACGCAGCGAAAGCUGUGCUAAUACCGCAUACGAUCUAUGGAUGAAAGCGGGGGACCGUAAGGCCUCGCGCGAUUGGAGCGGCCGAUGUCAGAUUAGGUAGUUGGUGGGGUAAAGGCCUACCGAGCCGACGAUCUGUAGCUGGUCUGAGAGGACGACCAGCCACACUGGGACUGAGACACGGCCCAGACUCCUACGGGAGGCAGCAGUGGGGAAUUUUGGACAAUGGGCGCAAGCCUGAUCCAGCAAUGCCGCGUGCAGGAAGAAGGCCUUCGGGUUGUAAACUGCUUUUGUACGGAACGAAACGGUCUGGGUUAAUACCCUGGGCUAAUGACGGUACCGUAAGAAUAAGCACCGGCUAACUACGUGCCAGCCGCCGCUGUAACAC